rnacentral:lncRNA from 1 species
UGAAAACAGGGGUUAUCACUAUCAAGAAUAAUAGGAGCAGCAGGAUGUCUACCAGGUCUUGGUCGAGGAGCCGGGGGAAGGGUAGUAGGUUAGCCACUACUUUCACCAAUUUUAGCUUUACCCUUACCACCAAAAAUAUUUUUCAAAGAAAAUGUCAUACUAAUUAUAAUUAUACUAAAUAAAACUAACAAAACUAUAAUAUUAAAACUUAAGAGUUGAAACGCGUUUACCGAAUUGCUGAACAACUUCUUGAAAAUUGAAAAUCGUUGAAUACUUGAAUACUUCAAUUCACCAACUUCACAAUUUUUCACGAAAUUUCAACAAUAAAAUAAGCAAUUAUAGUAGAGAGAUUGAGAGAGAUUGAUGAAUUGGUGAGUAAAAAUGAAAGAAUGAGGGGGUAUUUAUAGUUGAGAAUUGGGAAAAAGUGUAAUUAUAUAAAGUUUGGGGGCCAAAUGGCUAUUUUCUAAACAUCCAAACGGUCAAAAUUGCAGCCCAAACGACUACUUUUUAAAUUUUGACCGUUGGAAUUUUUUUUUUUUUUAAAUAAAACUAGCUGUUAGGCCCGGCCCAGGCCCGCCAGCUCCCCGGCUUAGCAGUCCCGGGCUCGUGUGCUUUCUAGGAAGAACCGGCUCCCCACGGGCUUUAAAGAACCGUUAAGACCGGCCCACCAGGCCCGUUAGGACCGCGGGCCCGGUCCGGUCCGGUUCAGGCCCGGCCCACAGUGCACCAUUAAUAUGGUAUGUGAUGACUCCGUGCUUGGAUGGUGUCGUCAAGUCUCAUUUUGAGACUCCAUUUGAAGGGUCUCGAAUUAAGACUCCAUGUGCUCCAAAGUGUACACGUAAAUAAAAAAAAAAGUAAAGAAAUAAGUAAAAGGAUAUCUCAUUCUUUAUUAAGUAAACAUGAGAAUAAAGAAGACAACAAGAACAUAAAGUAUGCAACAUCUAUAAUAUAAGUAGAGUUGACAUAUUAACAUAUUCAUAUCCUUGCAUCUAGACAUAAACAGAAACUCCCCAUCUCUCAUUUUAAGCAUUAGGAUUAAUGGCUGCUAGUUAAAUUAAAGGCAUGCUUCACUAAGUGAAAGUAGACAAAAAUCAACCACUUCAAAACAUACCCAAGUUCUUAGCUAACUUUUGAGACCAACUACUCUUAAGCAAAUAUAAGAUCCUAAGAAUGAGUCCUAGCAUAUUAUUAUCAGAAUGUUCUUUUUUUCUUUCUUGUUAAUACAGAAAACCCCAAAAUACCAUAGCUAGUACCUUAUUAACAGAAAAUUAUCAAAUAUAUUCCUUUAUUAAAGAUAAGUACUUAGAUUCUCUACUCAAGUAAAAUCCCAUACGCCCUAGGAUCAGAACAAAUUUAUUCUAACAGUACAUACUAAAGUUACUUUAAAAUCAACAAAAUACACCAAACUUGCAAGGAAAUCUAUAAGCACGCAUCAUAUUCAUACUAACAUGUGUUUUUUAUAAGCUAUUUCAUUAGAGGUACUUUAAAUUUUAUAGCUAUGGCAUCUAGUUUAUAUGAACAAGAAGAAAACCUACUGUCACUUGGCUUCAUCAAAAUAUAUAGGCAGUAGCUAUUAACAUGUUUUUUUUAUGGCACUACUAAAGAAGAAAUAAACCUAAAAAAUCAUGUCUUUGAAAAAGACAUAGAUCAUAGCUUUCUAAUCAAUAGAAUUAAAACCUGCAGCCUAGUACCUCAGGCAUAGCACUUGGUUAAAGAGGCUAUGCUCUAAUUUCAUGUCUUUAAUCAAAGAAACAACAGAUCGUAAGAUCAUGGAAUUCAAAGCAAGAGCCAUAAUUUAGCAACUAAUACAUUAAUCAUCGAAAAUCUACACUCUUCCACAGUUAGAAUACACACUUCCUUAUGGACAUGAUUUGUACACACAGAUGAAUUCUACAACAAUGCUUCUUUCAUCGAAAACAGAACUGAAACACAUAUUUUCAAGUCAUAACAAACAUUAACUUCAAAGCCGAAAAAUAAGAAAGAAAACAGGAGGAAAUAUCUUUAAAGUAACUGACCUAUUGCGGGCAGUGAACUAGGGACGUCGCAGGCCUUGAAUCUACACUCCUCUUGCGAACGGAAUCAGAACUGACUCGAACGUGGUAAAAUACGAAGUCUCUGUUAUAGCUAGAGCCAACAGAGACGAAGAAAACAAUAAGAAACUCAGGCUUUCUAAGAGAUUAUAGCAACAAAUAUGGAGUGUGGCGAUGACCAAUACUAAAGUUUGGGGGAAGAGUGGCGGCUGAAGCUUAAAGAUUCUUAGGGGGUAAAGGUGCGGCUCCAAAACCUAAGGUUAAAGGAGGGGGAUGAAGCUUGGUCAAAAAUCUCUUCAAAGGCAGGCGGGUAUUUAUGGGCUGAUUUCUAGGGUUCUUGAUUUGGGUGGGAUUUCGAAAUUGAGUGAAAAGCUGUUAAACGUUUGAAAUUUGAACGUUGAUGUUGAAAAAAAUUAAAUGAGGUGCAGAGCUUCUUGUUCAAAAAUGAUAGUGGCAAGUUCUGCCAUGGCUGAGCAAUGAUGGAAUUUUGUGAAGAAGAGGAAAGGGAGGAGAAGAAGCGUCUAUGUUGGGUUAGGAGAGAGAGAACAUGGUUAGCAAAUUGGAUUUAAUUGAUGGGAUAAAUA